rnacentral:rRNA from 1 species
UACGAAGGACCCGAGCGUUAUCCGGAUUUAUUGGGUUUAAAGGGUGCGUAGGCGGAUUAAUAAGCCAGUGGUGAAAGCCCAUCGCUUAACGAUGGAACUGCCAUUGAUACUGUUAGUCUUGAGUAUGGUUGAGGUGGGCGGAAUGUGUCAUGUAGCGGUGAAAUGCUUAGAUAUGACACAGAACACCAAUUGCGAAGGCAGCUCGCUAAACCAUAACUGACGCUGAUGCACGAAAGCGUGGGGAGCAAACAGG